AAAAGAAAAAAAAAAGGCUCCUUAAUUUUCCAAGGUCUUUCCUCCUAUACACUGAAUAUAAUACCAUUUCAUGAAUCUUUAUUACACUGUGUCCAACCUAUACUUCAGAAGGCUGAAAACAGAUGUAUUUGCAUGUGGUUUUCACGUUAUUUCCAGCUGCUCCAUUUCUAAACAAGAAGCAGGAGGACACAUGGUCAGAAUCAGAAUUUUUAAAGGUUAGUGUUCACAAAAAGGAAAACACUGUUCUGUUUUUCUUAUCCUUCUUCAUCUUAUGCACUGAAUUAACUCAAAACUUGUAUUGCAUAUUCUUUUGGAAGCAAAGUGGAUUUGAGGCAAAAUCUGAGAAAGAAGUUAAUUUAAAAUUCCACUAUCUCAUUCUACAGUUACUAGAUUUGUCCUCUGUUCUGAAAUCUAUGAACCACACCCAUAACCCCACCAGCCACUGUCUCUACUAUCUCCAGUACAAAACCUAUCUUGGAGGCAAUAAUUCUCAGUAUCUAGUAACUUGCUUAUAUCUUUAG
rnacentral:lncRNA from 1 species